rnacentral:rRNA from 1 species
AUACAGAGGGUGCGAGCGUUAAUCGGAAUUACUGGGCGUAAAGCGCGCGUAGGCGGCUACUUAAGUCAGGUGUGAAAUCCCCGGGCUCAACCUGGGAACUGCAUCUGAUACUGGGUAGCUAGAGUUUUGGAGAGGGAAGUAGAAUUUCAGGUGUAGCGGUGAAAUGCAUAGAGAUCUGAAGGAAUACCAGUGGCGAAGGCGACUUCCUGGCCAAAAACUGACGCUGAGGUGCGAAAGCGUGGGUAGCAAACGGGAUUAGAAACCCUAGUAGUCC